ACUGUGCUGACGGUGCAGGGCCUGGUGCGGGGCUCAAACCCACGCACAAACUGAGAGAUCAUGACCUGAGCCCAAACCAAGAGUUGGAUGCUUAACCGACUGAACCACCCAGGUGCCCCUGGAUUUGCACUUUUUGAAAAUGCUGGAAAAAACAGGAUCUUCGGGCCAAGGGACCAAGAGAGACGCCUUGGUUUUCGGCCUAGUGAUGGGGCCGUGCCGACCUCCGAUGGGGCUGACCAGCCCCACCCACAUGGGGCCCCUCAGCAGAAGAGGGAGUCCCGGACUGAGCGCCGAGUAGAGACACAAACACCUGACUCCAAAGACGAGAUUGCAGGGAAACUGAGGCACCACAGCACCCUCUCUGUUCUCCGGAGGCCCAGAAAAGCAGAAGCAGCCCUCGGCCGGAGCAGCAGUCCCUGAGGGCCGUCACCCAGGAGGAAAGCCUUUUGUCCUUGGCGCCUGUGUGCCCGCCGACCCCUCCCCACCUCCCUGUUCUGCAGGCCUGCUCUCCCUCGCUGGUCACCUCCUUCCUGGACCGCCCGCCCAAAGCCUCCCGGUCACGUCUCAGGGCACUUGCCCCCCAGACUGACUUGUAAUGAGCCUCCCCCUCCCCAGAGUGAAAGUCCCUGGGGGAGACUGGCCCGUGUGCCAGUCACGUCCCGACUCCCAGGAUGGGAGUGAAUGGGGGUGUGGGGGGCGUGUGGGGUCAUGACGGGAGGAGGUCGAGGAGGUCGAGCGUGGCAGGAAACUCCCGCUGGGCAAGGUUGGAAACACAUCCUGAAGCCAUUAGCACCUGUUCAUGGACACAUGCCCAGCCGCCCACCCUGCCCCGCCCGGCCUGGCCCCUGGUCUGUCCUGUUGGCAAGCGGCUGCUGACCUCUGCACCCUGCGUGAAGAGUCGGCCCAUCCACCACCCGUCAGGAAGGGAAAGGCGGCCUGGAGAGGCGGGGAGCUCCCGAGCUGUGGCAGCAGGGACGUCAGCCCUUCCUCUGUGGGGCUUCUUCCCUGUUUGGGGGUCUGGGUGCCUACAGAGGCUCCCGAAUUCUUCCCUACAGCUCCUGGGUGACAGUGCCCAGCGCAGGAGGAAACGGAAAGUGAAGAGCCUAGGGGUUCCUGAGACCCCCAGAGCAGGGCUUGUCCAGUCCACACCCUGGGCCUGGAGAAGCCAUAGGCAUGCUCUGGACCGGGGACCCGGAAUCCCCCUGUGCUGGGGCGGCGACCACCAGGUGGCAGUGUGGGAGCGUCCCUCCCACCCCCGCCUCUGAGCCCUGGCUCUGGGCUGGAUGCCAAGGAUUUGGAGGGUCCUCUGCGCUCCGUGUGGGCGCUUGGUUAGAGACCUCCCACACCAGACUUCGGGCAGCAGGGGCCUGAGGCAAGACAGGCUGACGUCCACGUAUUCCUGGGCCUGGCACCCAACACACCUGCUCACACCUGGGCGCACCUAGAACAACGGCCAGUCUCCACCUGCUUUUCUCUCUGCGCCGCAGACGCUUGUGCUGGGAACCGCCUCUCCACGGGGAGAGGCCAGUGUCCUGCUGAGGCCGCUCUGACAGCCAGCUGCCCCCGAGAGAGGAGCUUGACCCCAGCACGCAGCAGCUCCCCACCCCCCGCCGGCCUGGCCCAAGUUCAUGAUACAAGUCAGCGUGCUCGUGGUUCUGCGCCACCAGCUCGGUGGUUUGUGGUGCAGCCGGGGGUAACAGGAGAGUGUCUGCCCCCGAGGGGCCUUGGGUAAGUCACUGCCCCUCUGCGCACAUCUUCCACGUCUGCGCCCGUCCCACGGAGCGCUGAGCGGUAAGUAUGGAUGUGUGUCCUGAGUCGGGUCGGAUGGUGUCUCCCCAACAUGCGUGUCCCCUGGGGUCCCAGACCGUGACAUUAUCUGGGAGAUUUUGCAGAUGCGACUGGUUAAGAUGAGGUCAUCCGGAUGAGGGUGGGCCCCGAAUGCGACGAGCGAGCGAGUGAGCGAGUGGCGUCUUACCGGAGGAGGAAACAGAAGCACAGAGGAGCCACCACACGAAGCCAGAGGCAGAGGUGGAGGGAGGCGUCUACACGCGGGGGACAGCAAGGCCACCGUAGCACCGGGAGCAGGGAGGGAUGGGAACAACUGUCCCGGAGCCUCCAGAGAGAGCGAGCCCUUGAUUUGGGGCUCUGGCUCCAGAGCGGCGGCCGGGAUGCGCACACCAGUAAGAGGGGCCUCGUGAACCUGCUCUGCCACUCGUCCCGUGCCCACAAGGACCCUGCCACUCGACUCCAGCAAGACGAAGAUGUGGACUUUGAAGCAGCAACGACAGACAGUCCCACCUGCUGCUGUGAAAGCACCUUCGUCCUCGGGUGGGGUGGGGGUGGGGGUAGAUGGAGCUGUUCUCGUGCCGGUGGGCACAGCGCCUGGGUCCCGCCACCAGUGGGGGAGCACGCCCCAGACCAGCGCGUGGGGCGCAGGCUGCCCGGUUUCCCGAUGCCCUACACGGAGCCCGUGUCCCAGCGGGGAGGCUCGGCCCCUCGGGCAGGCGGCCCACGGGGCCUCCGCUUCCCGGGCGCACGGAGGGCCCUCGGCCGCCACCUGCGUUUCCAGAGCCAGCAGCUCAGAGGCCACCCCCCACCCGCCGGGAGACGUUGCCAAGUGGGGCCCAGGGGGCUGGGCUGCAGCUGUUUGGGGGCUUUUCUUCCAGAGCAAGGCCUCAGAGCCUCAGAGCCUCACUUCCUCCCUGCUGUUGGGCGCCUCGCCAAAGGCAUUUAAGAGGAGGCCCCGCCUCGCGACCUGCCCCCACCUCCACUGAACAGAGUACGGUUGUUCAGUCUGGGCCCAGACAGAGCCCCGCGGCAGCCGGGGGCCCGGCCCCGCGUGUGUGCAGCCGUGCGCUCGGGCACAUUUACCCACACAUGGGCACGCUCGUGUGCACAAGAGGAAGGCCUGCCUGGGGCGGGUCUUCCGAGGUCCAGGGUCGGGGCAGGUCCCGUCCUGCAGGCUCCUAGAGUCCGGGGCGGAGGCUUCUCCCGGGGUGGGGGAGGGGUGGCCGAUCUGUGCUGCCCCCAGGGCCUGCCAGAACCCAAAAGUCCCCCUGCACAGGUUCCCCCCACCUCCAAGCUUCCCUGGCCUCCCCGCCUCCAGAGGCAUCUGCCUCUACGGGGAAGCUCUGGCUGGAGGAGAGAAGGAGAGGAAAUAGAGAACCCUCCGGAGCACGUGCGGGUUACAGCAUCUUCCAGAGGGCUCCCUUGUCCUGUCCGCAGCCUCCAGAUAGAUCCCUGCGUCCUGCCCCAGCCCCCGGAUGGCGGUGACAGCAGCCCUGUUCACCAGCAAACACUCCCCACUAUGUGCUGCCCUUCGGAGUAACUUGAUAACCUGCGCUGUCACUGCAGGGAUGGGUUUACCAUCGUGAACAACAGUGAUUUGCCACAUUUUUCGUGUUACACUGCUGAGCUGUGGUCCUGCCUUGAGGAGGGGCUGGCAGAGCGGGGGAACCCUGAGGGCUGAGUCAUUAACGGAGUGAUUAACAGUCCUCAGCCUGGUGGCACGAGAUGGGGGGGGUGGCUUCCUGAGGUCUCAGGGUGGGGGCCCAGGUCCAAGCUGGCAAGGCAUCAGGCGGGGGACUCCCGGAAGCUGACCUGAGGUCGUGGGGCACCUCUGUCUGCCCUCCUCCCAAGCGGUGACCGCAACUCCCCCAAAGGCAGAUAGGAUCCAGUGCUGUGGUUGGGGUAUUCGGAGAGCACUUUCUGAGGGUAUCUUCCCCAGACGUAUUCCAGGUUUUGCCCCCAAAGCUGCAGGCUGUGCAGAGAUGCUGGGAUGGGUCCUUCCUGGAUGGGCUGGCAUGUGGCUGGUCAACAUGGGACCCACCCUACUGCCCAAGCCCUUCUCCACCUUAGGCCACCUUGUUGUUCAGGAAACGCUUUACGGCCGCAUCUCCCGGCCCCCCUGCCCACCGGCUCCUGUGCUGACCGCCCAGUCUUGGUGGGCGUCCCCUCCCGGGUCCCCAACCCACAGGGGCUGGAGGAAGGGGUGCUCCCUGCCUGUCGCUUCAGGAGAGGUGAGGCUCCCGGCUCUUGCCUGUCUCUAGGGGUCCCUCAGCCUUGCCCGCACGUCUGCAAAUUUUCGUGUAUGAGAUUCCUUUAUGUGAAGCCUGUUUCCUGCUGGUAGCCUGGGAGAUACAGCGGCAGGAAGCGAGAGGGACCUCGCCACGGCCCCUGAAGACAGCCGUGAGCCCAGACGCACACGGGCCAGAGGCGAGAGGUCCCCCCUAGUCCUUUCCCUGAAACCCCCUCAGACGCCAGCUCUGCUCAGCACCGCCCACGCCAUGCCAUUGGCAACAGCACCCAGUGCCCACACGGAAGCCGCACCAUCACCACGGCAACGCCCACCGGGCACCGAACGCAGUGCCGUGGACUGGCCGUGUAAUCUGUGGGGCCCGGUGCAAAACUCAAAACAUGGAAACGGUGCCGUUACAGGCACCAAAUGAGAGGGUUUUUUUUUUUCUCCCGCAGCCUUCCUCCCUCCGUCCCUUUCUGCUCACAGAGGGUUUUCCACUCGGUAUUUGAUGCCGUUCUAACUAAAUAAAAUCGAAAUUAUAGGCA